UGUGUCAUGUUCCCGACAGCCGUAGAGAUACGGUCUCCCUUCGGGGCGGGUUCACAGGUGGUGCAUGGUCGUCGUCAGCUCGUGUCGUGAGAUGUUGGGUUAAGUCCCGCAACGAGCGCAACCCUCGCCCUGUGUUGCCAGCACGUCGUGGUGGGAACUCACGGGGGACCGCCGGGGUCAACUCGGAGGAAGGUGGGGAUGACGUCAGAUCAUCAUGCCCCUUACGUCCAGGGCUUCACGCAUGCUACAAUGGCCGGUACAACGGGAUGCGACCCCGCGAGGGGGAGCGGAUCCCUUAAAACCGGUCUCAGUUCGGAUUGGAG
rnacentral:rRNA from 1 species